rnacentral:rRNA from 1 species
AGAGUUUGAUCCUGGCUCAGAUUGAACGCUGGCGGCAGGCUUAACACAUGCAAGUCGAGCGGGGAGAUGUAGCUUGCUACAUUUCCUAGCGGCGGACGGGUGAGUAAUGCUUAGGAAUCUGCCUAUUAGUGGGGGACAACAUUCCGAAAGGAAUGCUAAUACCGCAUACGCCCUACGGGGGAAAGCAGGGGAUCUUCGGACCUUGCGCUAAUAGAUGAGCCUAAGUCAGAUUAGCUAGUUGGUGGGGUAAAGGCCUACCAAGGCGACGAUCUGUAGCGGGUCUGAGAGGAUGAUCCGCCACACUGGGACUGAGACACGGCCCAGACUCCUACGGGAGGCAGCAGUGGGGAAUAUUGGACAAUGGGCGAAAGCCUGAUCCAGCCAUGCCGCGUGUGUGAAGAAGGCCUUUUGGUUGUAAAGCACUUUAAGCGAGGAGGAGGCUACUUAGAUUAAUACUCUAGGAUAGUGGACGUUACUCGCAGAAUAAGCACCGGCUAACUCUGUGCCAGCAGCCGCGGUAAUACAGAGGGUGCGAGCGUUAAUCGGAUUUACUGGGCGUAAAGCGUGCGUAGGCGGCUUUUUAAGUCGGAUGUGAAAUCCCUGAGCUUAACUUAGGAAUUGCAUUCGAUACUGGGAAGCUAGAGUAUGGGAGAGGAUGGUAGAAUUCCAGGUGUAGCGGUGAAAUGCGUAGAGAUCUGGAGGAAUACCGAUGGCGAAGGCAGCCAUCUGGCCUAAUACUGACGCUGAGGUACGAAAGCAUGGGGAGCAAACAGGAUUAGAUACC